rnacentral:rRNA from 1 species
GACGAACGCUGGCGGCGUGCUUAACACAUGCAAGUCGAACGGUGACCCAGGGCUUGCCCUGGUGAUCAGUGGCGAACGGGUGAGUAACACGUGGGGCAACCUGCCCCUGACUUCGGGAUAACUCCUCGAAAGAGGAGCUAAUACCGGAUACGACCACUUCGGACAUCCGAUGGUGGUGGAAAGUUUUUCGGUCAGGGAUGGGCCCGCGGCCUAUCAGCUAGUUGGUGGGGUAAUGGCCUACCAAGGCGACGACGGGUAGCCGGCCUGAGAGGGCGACCGGCCACACUGGGACUGAGACACGGCCCAGACUCCUACGGGAGGCAGCAGUGGGGAAUAUUGCGCAAUGGGCGAAAGCCUGACGCAGCGACGCCGCGUGAGGGAUGAAGGUCUUCGGAUUGUAAACCUCUUUCAGCAGGGACGAAGCGAAAGUGACUGUACCUGCAGAAGAAGCACCGGCUAACUACGUGCCAGCAGCCGCGG